UCCGCGCCGCCGCGCCCCGCCCGGGCAGCGGAGAACGGCCGCAGGGCGGGAGCGCCCUCGGAGCACGCAGGUGCCCUGCCCCGGGGCGCCUUUUCCAGGUUCCAGCCUCUCCCGGGGCCUUCAGCCUGGGUUUCCCGAAGCUGCUGAGGAGAGGGCAGUGAGAGGUUUCAAGCCAGACAAGUAGUAAAGCUUCCGUUCAGCAUUAUGGACAUCGUUCUGUCACUUUCUCCCCUCCCUAGCGUGGUGCUUUUCUGUCUCGGUGCAGAGCAGCGUGUUCUUUUCCAGGUGUUCACGUCCUGGGAUGCUGGCUGUUAGGUUUCCCUGUGCCUCUGGCAGAACCCAAAUGUGAAUGUGUUCCUUCCUCUGUUCCCCAGCCACGUGAUGCUCACAUGAUUGAGGCAACCUGUAGCUCUCACACAGCUCUUCCAUCCUGGCUGCCACAUGGAGCACUCUCACAUUCUGCUUCCUGAAGCUUUCAUUUAUUCCAUGUCAUUCUCCCUCUCUCUUUUUAACCAGAAGUCUUAUAAUCACACUUGAGUGACUUUUAGUAGGUGUUGUUAGGUAAAAACCAUCAAGCUUUCAGAUUUAGCUUCUGUGAAGGCUGGCUUCUGUACAUGCAGAUGCAGGAGGGCCUGUCAGGUCGAUCCUUACCCUUCCUUGUGCUGUGCCCAGGCUGUCACAGCUGUGCGAGGCUGCGGGGAAGCCGUGGCUUGAGCCCUCGGGCCGGCAGUGCCGGCGGGCUGUAGCUCUGCCGCCGAACGGGAGGUGGCAGUGGCUGCUGCAGGAACCAGAGAUCACUUCUCUGCAGUGUGUAACACACUGGGCAGGCUGCAACACAGGCUCUGGAAAUACAUCGGGAAAAACAGGAAAUGCAGUUUUCUGAAGGGAUACUGCACCUCAUGUAACCGAAUUCUGAUGGAUUA